AAUCAACGCUGGCGGCGUGCCUCAGACAUGCAAGUCGAACGCGAAAGUCCCCUUCGGGGGACAAGUAGAGUGGCGCACGGGUGAGUAACACGUAGGUAAUCUACCUUCGGGUGGGGAAUAACGCAGGGAAACUUGCGCUAAUACCGCAUAAUGCAGCGGCACCACAUGGUGACAGUUGUUAAAGCGGGGGAUUUACGGACCUCGCGCCUGAAGAGGAGCCUGCGGCAGAUUAGCUAGUUGGUAAGGUAACGGCUUACCAAGGCGACGAUCUGUAGCCGGCCUGAGAGGGCGGUCGGCCACACUGACACUGACAUACGGGUCAGACUCCUACGGGAGGCAGCAGUCGGGAAUUUUGGGCAAUGGGCGAAAGCCUGACCCAGCAACGCCGCGUGAAGGAUGAAAUCCCUCGGGAUGUAAACUUCGCAAGAAUAGGAAGAAUGAACGAGCGCUAACACCGUUCGUGAUGACGGUACUAUUGUAAGCUCCGGCUAACUCCGUGCCAGCACGG
rnacentral:rRNA from 1 species